CUGCCUGACAGGAGCCAGUGCCUCAGUGCUGAGGUGCUCACCUCUUUCCCCAUUGCCACCAGGGCCUGGCAGAGACUCAAGGCCACACGCACCACGGGCUGUGUCCAUCACCACAGACACCAGUUGCAUGCCCCAGUGUCCCCACGGCCCCGACCUGACUCUGGAGCAAGCCCCUGGGCCUGAGCCUCACCUUCCCUCAGUCAUGCUUAAGCCUGGGACUUGAUUUGGGACUGGCCUUGUGAGGCACUAGCCUGCCACCCCACUACCCACUUCCAGGGACCCCAAAUUUACCACAAGUACCCUUUGCUCCUGUACAAGCGUUAACCUCAAGUCCUGAACCAUUCCCUCUGCAGCCCAUUCCUGGGUCGCAGCAGUGGCCCACCCCUCAUGGCCCCAGCAGCAUCAUCAUGGAGGAUGGGUGCUGAGACGUGCAAUGUAAUCAGCCAGACUUUUGGGAUAGCCUCUUCACCUUCCUGGUUAUUUGUGCUCACUACUAUUGCUUCUUUCACCAGUACAAUUUCCCUUCCAAGGCUUGGACCAACCUUCCUGUCAACAUAGCAGUGUAUGUUGGCUACCUCUAUGCAGGUUGAGGCUUCAUGUCAUCCUAAAGAGAUUGUGUGACUCUGGUACUAUAAACACCAAGAUUCGAAGGACCAAGACCUUACACCUAGUCCUCUGAUAAUGCUUGGGUUUUUCCUCCACACUGGCUAACCUCCAAAUGCAUAGUGCUGAGGAGAUUUCUUUCACUGACAGAGCACCAAGACUCUUCUAUCAAAACUAUUUUAACCUUUAAGGAGAGAAGGUUUCUUUGUUUUGCUAACAGCAGUCAGUGACUGAAGAUUUUUAGCCUUGGACUGAGCUGAGGCGUUGGGUAGAUGCAGCAUGGUGUAGAGCAAAAGGUCUAAUCCAGGAAAACUGAAUUCCCAUAUCCUCACACAGUCACACCAGUAUCUAGUGAGAGACCAAGAAGCAGAAUUAAGUCUAGGCAAGGGCCUCUCCAGGAGAAUUUCAGGUGACAUGAGCUCACUGUUUACAAGAAGGAUCUGUCACAUGGAAAACAUGCUAUAUGCAAGUCUAUACACUUAAAACCAAAGAGGGGACAAAACCACAUAGUAAAUGGACUGUGGAAGAGGUGAAAGAAAACAACUGAUAGAAAGUCUUAAGAGCAGAUAUCUAGCAAAGCCACGGAGAAACUGAGCCUCCGUGAGUGUCAGACCAGACUUCUGAACCUGUAUCAAGCUGUUGAAUCCAAAUGUAGACAAGCUAAUGACAUAGUGAGAGUGCAUGAGAAAUUUGUCUGAUUCCUGACAAACUGGGUGACUUUACCACACACUGAGCCCAGCACUGGUCAUCAUAUUUGCCUGACUGAAAAGGCUGUCCUUUAAUUGGCCUACAUCCUGCAAAUUGGCACACGGCAGCUCAAGCUAUUCCUUCCAAAGGAUCUCUGGUUUAUGCUCAGGCAUCAUAAAGCAGUUGGACCAGUUACAGUUCAGAAUAAACAUGAAACCUACUAUCUGCACCCAGCAGUGAUCAUUUCCAGCCAGCAUUUCUGUGUACGGUGACCACAAAUGUAGCUAAAUCAAUACAACUUUGUUAAUAGUGAAACAUGUGAAAGUAACACUAGUGAAAAGGCUGUUCCCAACCAUUUUAUCUCCAGGAUAACUUGAUGAGACAAGCUCUCAAGAAAGGAAGAGAAUUCAGCCUGUUCCAGUCAGAGAGUUCCUGACUUAACCUCUUUUUGCUGAGGUUACCAGUAUUCCCCUCAAUUCAGGACAAAAAUGGCAGCAAUAUCACUUAUGGAAGGAGAGAAAAUGCGCUACAGCCAUCAGCCUACCCCAGAAAGUAUAUAGAAAAGACAAUUCCAGGUUGUGUCAACUGCAUUAGCCUUGCCUGCAGCAGCAUAAACAUUAAAUUACAGCAUUCUCAGUUAUGGGACUCUCUCGCUUAAAAUGUCGAGUUGCUACUAAAACACAGUAAAAGAGUUAGUGGCAAGUCAUUGACACAAAGCCUUUCCACAUCUCCAAAAGGAAUAAUGUCCUGCUCCAGUUUUCCCACGUUAUGGAUUAUAUCGACUGACAUGACUGAAAAAGAUGACACAGAUCGUCUCUUGGUACAUGUUCCACUUGAAAGUGUAAAAAAAAAAUCUGUCCUGUUUACCAUGUGAAUGUCUGCUACAGCAUUUCCCAUAGCAUCAAUAUUUCUGGGGAAGAGAAAUAUCCGUGUCCAGAAGUGUUUUGUCAGAUAAAGGCUAGAAACCAAACAGAAAUGGAAGCUCAAGCAAAUUCUGCAAGCUCUGUUUUACUGCCACUGUA